GGAAAAGCUAUGAAGGAGCUAAGUAGUUUCCUAUAGUUACAAAAUCAGAGAGUAGACCGGUUGGUGAAAGGUCUAUAGUAUAUAGGAAUACGAAUUACACUCUGGAGUUUCGAAGCUAAAAACUUCGGCGGUUAAAAAAACCGUUAUCAAGAUUAAGGCAUUUGAAUUAUAUAAUUAAUUCAAAUGUAAAAUAAGGUGGUACCACGGGUCUUCUCGUCCUUAAA
rnacentral:ncRNA from 1 species